AUUGAACGCUGGCGGCAUGCCUUACACAUGCAAGUCGAACGGCAGCACGGGUGCUUGCACCUGGUGGCGAGUGGCGAACGGGUGAGUAAUACAUCGGAACGUACCUUAUCGUGGGGGAUAACGCAGCGAAAGCUGUGCUAAUACCGCAUACGCCCUGAGGGGGAAAGCGGGGGAUCGCAAGACCUCGCGCGAUUAGAGCGGCCGAUGCCUGAUUAGCUAGUUGGUGGGGUAAAAGCCCACCAAGGCGACGAUCAGUAGCUGGUCUGAGAGGACGAUCAGCCACACUGGGGCUGGGACACGGCCCAGACUCCUACGGGAGGCAGCAGUGGGGAAUUUUGGACAAUGGGGGCAACCCUGAUCCAGCAAUGCCGCGUGAGUGAAGAAGGCCUUCGGGUUGUAAAGCUCUUUUGUCAGGGAAGAAACACCGGCUCUAACACAGUCCGGGAAUGACGGUACCUGAAGAAUAAGCACCGGCUAACUACGUGCCAGCCGCCGCAGUAA
rnacentral:rRNA from 1 species